GGGCUGCGGUAUUUUGACUGUACAAAGGUAGCAUAAUCAUUAGUCUCUUAAUUGGUGACUUGUAUGAAAGAUUGGAUGAGAUAUAUACUGUCUCUAAUUAAUUUAUAGAAUUUAAUUUUUUAGUAAAAAAGCUAAAAUAAGUUUAAAAGACGAGAAGACCCUAUAGAGUUUAAUAAUUUAUUUAAUUAAUAUUAAUAUAUAAUUUUUUAAAAAUAAAAUUAGAUGAAUUAUUUUGUUGGGGUGAUAGAAAAAUUAAAUUAACUUUUUUUUAUUAUUUACAUUAAUUUAUGAUUAAGUGAUCCAUUUAUAAUGAUUAAAAGAAAAAAUUACCUUAGGGAUAACAGCGUAAUUUUUUUUUUUAGUUCAAAUAGGAAAAAAAGUUUGCAACCCCAAUGUUGGAUUAA
rnacentral:rRNA from 1 species